rnacentral:rRNA from 1 species
AGCGAACGCUGGCGGCAGGCCUAAUACAUGCAAGUCGAACGAAGCCUUCGGGCUUAGUGGCGGACGGGUGAGUAACACGUGGGAACGUACCCUUUGGUUCGGAACAACUCAGGGAAACUUGAGCUAAUACCGAAUGUGCCCCCAUCCUUAACAAGAUGGGUGGGAAAGAUUUAUCGCCAUUGGAGCGCCCGCGUCUGAUUAGCUAGUUGGUGAGGUAAAGGCCCACCAAGGCUACGAUCAGUAGCUGGUCUGAGAGGAUGAUCAGCCACACUGGGACUGAGACACGGCCCAGACUCCUACGGGAGGCAGCAGUAGGGAA